rnacentral:lncRNA from 1 species
UCCAAGAGUCUCCUUCCUUCUCCUUUGCAAACUCACGGCACAAGAGGGAUGAUUGGGUGAAUGAUGUAGUGAAAAUCUGGUAGAGGGUGGUGUUCAAUUGGUGCGGCAAAGGGUUGUAUUUAUAGGCUGAAAAUCACAGCCCCUAGGUAGCAAAGGAAAAGGAUUUAAAGGCCUAAGUUGCAUAGGAAAAUAAAGCACAAUCCUUGAAGGAAAACAAAUCAGAAAUCCAAAGGGAAUGGGAGGAUAAGGUGCGGCACUUAUCUAGGAAGGGAUAAGGGCUUCUAGAAACCAAAAUCCCAAGGGAUUUGGGUAAAAACUCACGGCACAAAGUGGAGAGAAAGUGGCUGAUUUGCAAUGCAAGGCAAAGGUCUUCUAGAAAGGUUCUAGGCGGCAUUUUUGUAGGAAAGGAUUAGGUUUUCUAGAAAUCUGAUUUUAAGCAUCCUAAUAUAGCUAGGAAUCCUCCCAAGUAGCUGAAAUAUAGGUGGAUUAGGAUUAGGAUAAGAUAGGAUAAGAUUGGAUAGGAUUGGAUUGGAUAGGGUUCGGAUAAUGUUUUGGAUAAGGUGUCUUCACUUGAGCUGAUUCUUUGGCUUUAACUUCCCUUCUUCAAGUAGGAAACCUUGUUUGAGUAGGAAACUUCAAUCUUCUAGGAAUCCAACUUUACUUAGGAAUCAUUCUUCAACUAGGAAUCCAUGCUUAACUAGGAUUUCAUCUUCAAUUAAGCACUUUCCCAUUUCAAUUAGGAAACUUUGCAUCUUCAAGUCUUCAACUUUGAAACACAUUCCUAGCUCUUCAAUCCUUCAAAUUCGUCCAUUCUUUGUGCUCCACAUGCAUGAGCUCCAUUCUAGCUCAAUUUUGCUCCAAAAUGCUCCAAAUUGCAUCGUUUUGCUUACUUUGUUCUUAAAACCUGAAAACACAUGGAAAUAGCUUAAAAGACUAACUUAACUAAGAAAACACAACAUAAAUGCAUAAGAACUAACUAACUAAGGCGCAUAAAUAUGCUCCUAUCAAAUUCCCCCACACUUAGCUUUUGCGAGUCCUCGAGCAAAUCAAAGAAACGAAACGAAACAAAAUAAUCAAAACAUAACCUAAACCUUCCAACGUUUGUCUCAGGGAUUCCCAAUGUACAUGACAUAUUAAAAAUCAUCAUUCCCAAAGAUUUUAGUCAUCUUCACACUUAAGCAUAUACUUAAUCAUAGUCACCACAUACUAGUUCACUUUUAACCAAUUAAAACAGGAUUUUGAAUGUAGUAACAUGCCUUAGAGAAUUUACUCAAGUCCUUACUAGAUAUGCAAUCAAUUUUCACACAGAUUUUCUAACUCCACACCCUAUACUAGUUAUAUGUGAGAAGAUUGAUGUAAAUAUGAAACGAACGCUCACAUAUAUGUAUAACAAAGAAAACAUUUUCUGGAGUUAAUAAGCAUUUAGAUAUGAUCUCAUGAAUGGAAUGCUACUACUUAGAUGCGAGAACCAAGGAUAUUAUAUGCUCAUACCAAUUCCAAACUCCACAUAUUGAAACACAUAACAAUCAAGAUAGAAGCAAAGGGUUGUAACGGGGCUAAGGUAUUGGCUAACAAAGAAAGGGUAGGAUAAACAAACACUCUUAAAGAAUAAUAAGCAAAGUAAUGAAAUUGACACUUAGAAUUCCCUUUUGCAUGCAAAAAUCAAUUUUGAAACACAAGGGGAAGACUCAUGCAACACUUAGGGCCAAAUUCAAGCUUUGUGGACCCUUUCUUCAACAUCCAACACUUUAGAGCAUCUUUUCACACAUUUUUCAACUCUUCUUCAUUCUUUUCACACUUUUUUCUUCAUUUUUUCUUUUUCUAACCCGUGCCCUUCUACUUCUUUUGGCACACGAAAUUUUCCUUCCCCCACACUUAUUUUUCUGCACAAUGUUGAUCAAAAGGAAUUCCCUCUAAGUCAUGCUUUAUUAUCCUUUAAGAACAAGGGUAUGGAUAGUCCUCAUCUAGGCUAGGUGAGGAUAAUGUGGCUAACAAAGAAAAUGGCUAACUAAGGCUCAAAAGGGUAAACCUACAAAACAAAUGCAUGGUAUGAAGGCUUUUUGGCUUUGGUGGUAACUACUAAACAACUUCAUCUUGUUAUAUGUUAUGCUAAUCAAUUUUAUGCUUUGAAUGAAAUGGGUAUGAGUUCUAAUAUUUGGAUCUAUAAUGAUGACACGCCUUCUAAGUAGCAACCAAGCAAAGAAUGAUGAGAUCGUGCAACGACUUUAGAAAACAACAAAUUCCCAGAUUAUUAACUCUCCAAAGAAUGUUUAGGCUCAAGUCUCACAGGGUUGUAGCGUUAGUUUGAGUUCCUUCCUUCAAGCAUGUUACAAAAACUGAUUUUUUCCUUUGUGAUUAUAUGUGAAUUUGAUAGGAGCAUAUUUAUGCGACUUAUUUGGCUUGUUCUUGUGCAUUUAUGUUGUUUUUCUUUAGUUGUUUUAAGUGUUUAAAGUCAUUUUCGUGCAAUUUCAGGUUUUAGAGACAAAGUAUGCAAAGAAGUGCGAAAUGGAGCAUUUUAGAGCAAAAUUGAGCUGGAAUGUUGUGUAUGCUUAUGGAGCACAAGGAAUGGACGAGUUUGAAGGUCAAAGGAUCUUAAGAAAUGAAGAAAUGAAAGUGAAGAACAAAGAAUUCGGAAUUGGAAACCAAAGUUUCUAAAGUUGGAAGUUUCUAUUCUUGGAGGUUUCCAUUUUCGAGAGUUUCUAUUCGUGGCUUUGGGCUUUUAGAUGACCCAUCUCUAACCCUAGCAAACUAGCCGCACCCUAGGCCUUUUUCCCAUUAAAAAUCUGGUUGUUUUAACCUAAUUUCUGAUGGAUUUGGGUUUUAGAGGCCCUAAUCUGAUUGCCCUAGGGUUUUGGAUGCCUAUAUAUACACAUUAUAACAUUUAGGCCGGACUACCAUCUGCAUAUCCAUUCUACACCACCAGAAAACCUAGUUCUACAACCUGCCGCACCCCUCCACCAUUCUUGCCGAGCUUUCCACCAUCUUCCACCCAUCAAACACUCAUCCACACUCAUCCUACACCCCUUGCCGUGCCUCUACACCCCCCAAAUUCCAUUCUACAUCAUCAAAACAAUCCAGGAAGCACCACCACCCAAUCUGCCGCAAGCAAGGAAAGGGGACAGAUUCUCUACAAUUGUUUGGCUCUUCAUUCUGAGUUGUUGAACGAUUUUAGGUGUUUUCUAUCUUAUAUUUCAAUGUCUAAUUCAUGUAAUCUUUGUUUUGCUUUAAGUAUGAUUGGCUAAAUUCGUUUUGGCUAAGGGGUGGAUUCAAAACCAUGAUUAUAUAUGUGAAAUAAUUUGAUUACUUUCAGUUAUCGUUGCAUAAGUCGUGAAUACAAUUUGCUUAACCGUUUGAUUUAGAACUUAUUCUUGUAUGUUGAUUGAGAGUGCACGCUUAAUUUGCAUGCUUGAAUAGGAGUUGGUUGAAUGACGCCGUGCAUUCCUCAUUGAAGUCAAAUGCCACAUCUUUUUGUAGGAGUCGGCAAAGAGGUUGGGCAACCUUUGAGAAGUCUUUGAUGAACCUACGAUAGAAACCUGCAUGGCCAAGAAAAGAACGAACCUCUCUAACCGAAGUAGGAGAGGGUAAGUGACGCACAAGAUCUAUCUUUGACUUAUCAACCUCAAUACCGUUUUCAGAGAUAAUAUGACCUAAAACUAUGCCUUGUUUAACCAUGAAAUGACAUUUUUCCCAAUUAAGAACAAGGUUAGUUUCAACGCAUCGUUUUAAGAUCAAACUUAGAUUACGCAAGCAACCAUCAAAAGAAUCACCAAAAACGCUAAAGUCAUCCAUAAAAACUUCAAUUAUUUUCUCAACAUAAUCAGAAAACAUGCUCAUCAUGCAUCUUUGAAAUGUGGCAGGUGCAUUACAUAAACCAAAAGGCAUGCGACGAUAAGCAAAUGUACCAAAAGGCAUGCGACGAUAAGUAAAUGCACCAAAAAGGCAUGUAAAAGUGGUUUUUUCUUGGUCCUCGGGUGCUAUGACAAUUUGAUUAUAACCAGAAUAACCAUCAAGAAAACAAUAGAAAGCAUAACCAGCUAACCUCUCAAGUAUUUGAUCAAUGAACGGCAAUGGGAAGUGAUCCUUCCUUGUAGUGGAGUUUAGCUUCCUAUAGUCGAUACACACCCUCCAACCAGUUUGAAUGCAGGUAGGCACAAGUUCAUUCUAGGCAUUUUGAUGCGAAAUAUAUAAGCACACAAAUUAAACCCUCUUUUUAUCAAUUGUAGCAAAGUAUGUAAGUAGGGAUCGUUCUAGGCCGGGGAUUAGGAGGGAUUGCUAAAUCACUUAAAACUGACUCAAAAACGUAAAAACAAAGUUUAAAACACUAAACUAGCCUCAAAGAAUGCAAAACUAAACUCUAAAACACUAAAACAAACCAAAAGACUCAAAACAGCCCAGAAACACUCAAAACUUCCUUAAAAUCACAAUCUGGGCAGUUUGAACACCUAACACUAAUUUGGACGAAAUUGGGUUAUAACUUGACUCAAGACACUGAUGUGGAAAUUAUGUUGACACACAAAUUAAACCCUAUUGAUGACAAUUGUAGUAAUGAUGCAAGUAGGGAUCGUUCUAGACCAGGGAUUAACUAGGGAUGUUAAUCAACACAAAUAAGACUAAAAAACACUAAACUAGACUCUAUAGACUCAAAACUAACUCAAAACACUCAAAACAGCAAAUAACAACCAAAAAGACUCAAUUCUAGACCUAACAAGUGACUUGGACGAAAAUAGGACUUCAAAGACUCAAAAGACUUAAAAGAAACAAGUUUUGACUCUAAAAACAAGACUUAAAAGUAAGGGGUUUGGUUUUGAGGAAAAUUGAAAUUUAAAACAUAAACUUUGAAAACAAACUUUAACAAAAACGAUUUUGAUGAAAUAGAAUGGUGAAAGGCUAGUUAGAGGGUUUCUUCUCCACACAUGAAACAUAUGCAUACGACUCGAUUUCCAGUUACUCUUUCAACAAACCAUGAAUGAAAAUGUCCCAAAUUAACUAGAUUGCACCAAUUAAUUCUCAGAUUUCCCUAGAUUCAUUGAAUUGAAUGGAAUACGCAUUACAACCAAAUUAUUCUUAUCAAGGACCCUAACUAUGGAAUACGCAUGACAGAGACACAUAUCAAAGAUCAUUAAGUUCAAUGGAAAUUAUAAACAUCGACGAGGCAUUCAUAACUAUGGAAUACGCAUGUUACUCUUGCCAAGGAUUUACUUAACACAAUCGUGACGAGUAACUUUUACUACUUGUGAAUAUAAGUUAAUAACGAUUAGGUGAAAUUCCCUUAUACUCUAGCGUCAAAUUCAUGCAUGCGAACUAAGUAUGCAUCCUUAAUUAACAUACAUAAACAUGUUAUCAAUCAAAUAGAUAAGUAAACCACAUUCACAAUUCAUGAAAUCAUAACUGGAGGAAAUCAAGUCAUAUAAAACAUAUGAUCAUGGCUUUGAAUUCCCCUCUAACUAUAAAGAAAUUAGUUCCUCAUGUUCGCAAAUAAAUAAAGAUAAAUAAAUCUAAACAUUGACAUAAAGAUAGAAAACACCUAGAAACGCUCCAACAAUCCAAGCUCCUUGAAUGGCAUGCACGGCUCCAGAUUUCUUCCUUCUUAUCCUUGCAAAACUCACGGCACAAGAGGGGUUUUUUGGUGAAUGGUGUAGUGAAAAUAUGGUAGAGAGUGGUGAAUGAAUGGUGCGGCAUAAGGUGGUAUUUAUAGGCUGAAAAUCCCAACUCCUAGGUAGCAAAGGACAAGGUUUUAAAGGUCUAAUCUGCAUAGGACAAUAACAUACAAUCCUAUAAGGAAAACAAGUCAGAAAUCCAAAAAGGAAUGGGAGAUAAGGUGCGGCACAAAGUUAUGAGAUGAUAAGGCUUCUAGAAAUCUGAAAUCCCAAGGGAAAUAGGACAUAGGGUGCGGCACAAAGGGUUGUUUCUAGAAAGAAAUACAAGGCAGAUUUUUAGGCUUCUAGAAAGGUUCUAGGCGCCAUCUUUUUAGGACAACAUUAGGUCUUCUAGAAAUCUGAUUUUAAGCCUCCUAAUCUAGUUAGAAACCCUCCCUUGCAGCUGAAAUAUGGGUAGUUUAGGAUUAGGAUAAGAUAGGAUAGGAUAAAGUUUGUUUGGAUAAGAUAAGCUAAGAUAAGGUUAUGGAUGAGGUUUUGGAUAAGAUUCCUUCACUUGAGCUGAUUCUUUGGCUUUAACUCUUCUUCUUCAUGUAGGAAUACUUGCUUGAGUAGGAAACUUCAUACGUCUAGGAAUCCAUCUUCAAUUAGGACUCCUACAUUGAUUAGGAAUCCUUCUUCAUUUAGGAAUCCUACAUUUAAGCCAUUUCCUACAUCAACUAGGAAACUUUGUAUCUUCAAUUCUUCAACUUCAAAAAGACAUUCCUAGCUUCUUCAAUCCCUCAAAUUCGUCAAUCCUUUGUGCUUCACAUGCAUGAACUUCAUUCUAGCCUAGUUUUGCUCCAAAAUGCUCCAAAUUGCAUCAUUUUGCUUACUUUGUCCUUAAAACCUGAAAACACAUGAAAAUAGCUUAAAAGACUAACUUAACUAAGAAAACACAACAUAAAUGCAUAAGAACUAACUAACUAAGGCGCAUAAAUAUGCUCCUAUCAAAUUCCCCCACACUUAGCUUUUGCUAGUCCUCGAGCAAAACAAAUAAACAAAACUAAACGAAACAAAAUAAUCAAAACAUAACCUAAACCUUCCAACGUUUGCCUCAGGGAUUCCCAAUGCACAUGACAUAUUAAAAAUCAUCAUUCCCAUAGAUUUUAGUCAUCUUCACACUUAAGCACAUACUUAAUCAUAGUCACCACGUACUAGUUCACAUAUAACCAUUUAAAACAUGAUUUUGAAUGUAGUAACAUGCCUUAGAGAAUUUACUCAAGUCCUUACUAGAUAUGCACUCAAUUUUCACACAGAUUUUCUAACUCCACACCCUAUACUAGUUAUAUGUGAGAAGAUUGAUGUAAAUAUGAAAACGAAUCCUCACAUAUAUGUAUAACAAAGAAAGCAUUUUCUGGAGUUAAUAAGCAUUUAGAUAUGAUCUCAUGAAUGGAAUGCUACUACUUAGAUGUGAGAACCAAGGAUAUCAUAUGCUCAUACCAAUUCCAAACUCCACAUAUUGAAACACAUAACAAUCAAGAUAGAAGUAAAGGGUUGUAACGGGGCUAAGGUAUUGGCUAACAAAGGAAGGUAAGGAUAAACAAACAUUCUUAAAGCAAAGAAUGAUGAGAUCAUGCAACGACUUUAGAAAACAACAAAUUCAUAGAUUAUUAACUCUCCAAAGAAUGUUUAGGCUCAAGUCUCACAGGGUGUAGCGUUAGUUUGAGUUCCUUCCUUCAAGCAUGUUACAAAAACUGAUUUUUUCCUUUGUGAUUACAUGUGAAUUCAUAAGUUAUAACCACAACCAAGCAUAAACCAAAGAGUAAAUCAAACGUCCAUCCAUGUUUAUAACUCUCUUUAACAGUCAUGCAAUUAAAAACCGAAUCCUCAUCAUUGUGUUGGAAGGUACUCUAAAACACGAACAAACACACAAAAACGACUCUUUUUUGGAUUUUUCAAAACAAUUUUUCAAAUUUUUAUGGGAUUUUCGGAUUUUCAUGUUAAAACAUACUAAAAUACUUCAAAACACACUAAAAACACUUAAAAACAGUGAAAAACAACCGUUGAAAUGUUAGGUGGUAAAAUCCUACGAAUUUUUCAAUAAAAACACUUGUUUACCCCCCCACACUUAAACCAAACAUUGUCCUCAAUGUUUCAAACAUAGACUCACACAAAAACAAGCAAUUAACACAACUAGAAAAACAUGACGAAUAUGGCAAAAGAAAAGCAAUAAAGAGUAGGGUUUAGGAACGCAAAUCUGGUUUGUGAUGCCGGAGCUUCCUAGGUCUUCUUUUAUUCGCAUGGGUUGCCUCCCACGAAGCGCUUGCUUUUAACGUCUUCCAGCCGGACGAUGCCUCCAAUCAAGCUUGAAUAGUGCCCACGGCAUGGAAGGAGACUUCCUCCACGGCCUUCUCCUCAAAAGUUGUGUAAUAUGGCUUCAAACGAUGUCCAUUGACUUUGAAUUCUUGUUGCAUCUUCAAACUUUGAAUUUGAACUGCACCAUGUGGAAAAACAUUAGUAACAAUAAAAGGGACCAAUCCACUUAGAACGCAACUUACCUGGAAACAACCGAAGGCGAGGAAUUGAAAAGUUAACACUUUCUGCCCGAUNAUACUAGUUAUAUGUGAGAAGAUUGAUGUAAAUAUGAAAACGAAUCCUCACAUAUAUGUAUAACAAAGAAAGCAUUUUCUGGAGUUAAUAAGCAUUUAGAUAUGAUCUCAUGAAUGGAAUGCUACUACUUAGAUGUGAGAACCAAGGAUAUCAUAUGCUCAUACCAAUUCCAAACUCCACAUAUUGAAACACAUAACAAUCAAGAUAGAAGUAAAGGGUUGUAACGGGGCUAAGGUAUUGGCUAACAAAGGAAGGUAAGGAUAAACAAACAUUCUUAAAGCAAAGAAUGAUGAGAUCAUGCAACGACUUUAGAAAACAACAAAUUCAUAGAUUAUUAACUCUCCAAAGAAUGUUUAGGCUCAAGUCUCACAGGGUUGUAGCGUUAGUUUGAGUUCCUUCCUUCAAGCAUGUUACAAAAACUGAUUUUUUCCUUUGUGAUUACAUGUGAAUUCAUAAGUUAUAACCACAACCAAGCAUAAACCAAAGAGUAAAUCAAACGUCCAUCCAUGUUUAUAACUCUCUUUAACAGUCAUGCAAUUAAAAACCGAAUCCUCAUCAUUGUGUUGGAAGGUACUCUAAAACACGAACAAACACACAAAAACGACUCUUUUUUGGAUUUUUCAAAACAAUUUUUCAAAUUUUUAUGGGAUUUUCGGAUUUUCAUGUUAAAACAUACUAAAAUACUUCAAAACACACUAAAAACACUUAAAAACAGUGAAAAACAACCGUUGAAAUGUUAGGUGGUAAAAUCCUACGAAUUUUUCAAUAAAAACACUUGUUUACCCCCCCACACUUAAACCAAACAUUGUCCUCAAUGUUUCAAACAUAGACUCACACAAAAACAAGCAAUUAACACAACUAGAAAACAUGACGAAUAUGGCAAAAGAAAAGCAAUAAAGAGUAGGGUUUAGGAACGCAAAUCUGGUUGUGAUGCCGGAGCUUCCUAGGUCUUCUUUAUUCGCAUGGGUUGCCUCCCACGAAGCGCUUGCUUUAACGUCUUCCAGCCGGACGAUGCCUCCAAUCAAGCUUGAAUAGUGCCCACGGCAUGGAAGGAGACUUCCUCCACGGCCUUCUCCUCAAAAGUUGUGUAAUAUGGCUUCAAACGAUGUCCAUUGACUUUGAAUUCUUGUUGCAUCUUCAAACUUUGAAUUUGAACUGCACCAUGUGGAAAAACAUUAGUAACAAUAAAAGGACCAAUCCACUUAGAACGCAACUUACCUGGAAACAACCGAAGGCGAGAAUUGAAAAGUAACACUUUCUGCCCGAUAGAGAAUGUCUUGCUACGAAUCAUCUUGUCAUGGAAUGCCUUUGUUUUCUCCUUGUAAAUGUGAGCAUUCUCUUAAGCUUCAUUCCUAACUUCCUCAAGCUCAUUCAAUUGAAGCUUUCUAUGGAGUCCUGCGGCAUCAAUGUCCAUAUUGAAAGUUUUGAUGGCCCAAUGUGCUUUGUGCUCCAAUUCAACUGGAAGAUGGCAUGGUUUCCCAUAGACUAGCCGAAAUGGGGACAUUCCAAUUGGUGUUUUGUAGGCUGUACGAUACGCACACAAUGCAUCAUUCAAGCGCAAGCUCCAAUCUUUCCGGUUUGGCCCUACGGUCUUCUCCAAAAUUUGCAUGAUUUCUCUAUUUGAAACCUCCGCUUGCCCACUUGUUUGAGGAUGAUAAGGUGUGGCCACCUUAUGCGUGACAUUAUAUUUCUUGAGUAGCGCCUCAAUUGUUCGAUUGCAGAAAUGGGAGCCCCCAUCACUUAUAAGUAUCUGCGGCAUUCCAAACCUUGCAAAA